rnacentral:rRNA from 1 species
UACGUAGGGUGCAAGCGUUGUCCGGAAUUAUUGGGCGUAAAGAGCUCGUAGGCGGUUCGUCGCGUCGGCUGUGAAAUCCUGAGGCUCAACCUCGGGUCUGCAGUCGAUACGGGCGGACUGGAGUUCGGCAGGGGAGACUGGAAUUCCUGGUGUAGCGGUGAAAAUGCGCAGAUAUCAGGAGGAACACCGGUGGCGAAGGCGGGUCUCUGGGCCGAUACUGACGCUGGAGGAGCGAAAGCCGUGG